GCAUUAAUGGGGUAGUGGUAACCUGGGUCGUUGCCAUUGCGUUGUAUUCGACCCGCCGGGGGUUCGAUUCCCUCUUAAUGCA
rnacentral:tRNA from 1 species